rnacentral:rRNA from 1 species
UACGAAGGGGGCUAGCGUUGUUCGGCCUAACUGGGCUUAAAGGGUGCGUGGGCGGGUCCGCCAGUCUGUGGUGAAAUCCUCCCGCUCAACGGGAGAACUGCCGUGGAUACUGCGGACCUCGAGGAAGAUAGGGGCGUGCGGAACAGUUGGUGGAGCGGUGAAAUGCGUUGAUAUCAACUGGAACUCCGGUGGCGAAGGCGGCACGCUGGGUCUUUUCUGACGCUGAGGCACGAAAGCUAGGGGAGCAAACGGG